AGAGUUUGAUCCUGGCUCAGGAUGAACGCUAGCGGCAGGCUUAAUACAUGCAAGUCGAACGGGAUUCGGGGUAGCAAUACUUUGAUGAGAGUGGCGCACGGGUGCGUAACGCGUAUGCAACCUACCUUUAACAGGGGAAUAGCCCCGAGAAAUCGGGAUUAAUACUCCGUAACAUUGCGGUGUGGCAUCACACUGCAAUUAAAGAUUUAUCGGUUAAAGAUGGGCAUGCGUGACAUUAGCUAGUUGGUGAGGUAACGGCUCACCAAGGCAGCGAUGUCUAGGGGUCCUGAGAGGGUUAUCCCCCACACUGGUACUGAGACACGGACCAGACUCCUACGGGAGGCAGCAGUAAGGAAUAUUGGUCAACGGGCGCAAGCCUGAACCAGCCAUGCCGCGUGCAGGAAGACGGCCCUAUGGGUUGUAAACUGCUUUUAUCAGGGAAUAAACCCCCGCUCGUGAGCGGGGCUGAAGGUACCUGAAGAAUAAGCAUCGGCUAACUCCGUGCCAGCAGCCGCGGUAAUACGGAGGAUGCAAGCGUUAUCCGGAUUCAUUGGGUUUAAAGGGUGCGCAGGCGGAUUGGUAAGUCAGGGGUGAAAUCCCACAGCUCAACUGUGGAACUGCCUUUGAUACUGUCAGUCUAGAGUAUAGUUGAAGUUGGCGGAAUGUGUCAUGUAGCGGUGAAAUGCUUAGAUAUGACACAGAACACCGAUCGCGAAGGCAGCUAGCUAAGCUAUAACUGACGCUCAUGCACGAAAGCGUGGGGAUCAAACAGGAUUAGAUACCCUGGUAGUCCACGCUGUAAACGAUGAUUACUCGAUGUUGGCGAUACACAGUCAGCGUCUGAGCGAGAGCAAUAAGUAAUCCACCUGGGGAGUACGAUCGCAGAUUGAAACUCAAAGGAAUUGACGGGGCC
rnacentral:rRNA from 1 species